ACGGUACCGGAAGAAGAAGCACCGGCUAACUACGUGCCAGCAGCCGCGGUAAUACGUAGGGUGCGAGCGUUAAUCGGAAUUACUGGGCGUAAAGCGUGCGCAGGCGGUUAUGUAAGACAGAUGUGAAAUCCCCGGGCUCAACCUGGGAACUGCGUUUGUGACUGCAUAACUAGAGUACGGCAGAGGGAGGUGGAAUUCCGCGUGUAGCAGUGAAAUGCGUAGAUAUGCGGAGGAACACCGAUGGCGAAGGCAGCCUCCUGGGCCAGUACUGACGCUCAUGCACGAAAGCGUGGGGAGCAAACAGGAUUAGAUACCCUGGUAGUCCACGCCCUAAACGAUGUCAACUAGUUGUUCGGUGAGGAGACUCAUUGAGUAACGCAGCUAACGCGUGAAGUUGACCGCCUGGGGAGUACGGCCGCAAGGUUAAAACUCAAAGGAAUUGACGGGGACCCGCACAAGCGGUGGAUGAUGUGGAUUAAUUCGAUGCAACGCGAAAAACCUUACCUACCCUUGACAUGCCAGGAACUUGCCAGAGAUGGCUUGGUGCUCGAAAG
rnacentral:rRNA from 1 species